UGGAAUUGUUGGCGAUGUAACCUGUGUGCUUUUAUGGUUUACAGUGGACAAAAACAAUGGAGGUUAUGAAACCUAUGGAUAUGUUUCAGCUGCUCAAGAUCCUAACAUGUAUUUUAACCAAGGCUAUAUUCUGCCAACUACUAGCACUUGGAAACUGUAAUCAAGUCUCGCAUCCCAGGCCUCCAGUCGCUAAUUAAUAAAAGUAUUGGUGAACUAGAGGCGAAAUUCAGUCGUUUUGGAAAGCCUUUUGCUUCUGAUGCUGGAGGUAAAUUAUACUCAAUUAUGGAGAUUUGUCGUCUUUAUGAUGGAAUUUUCAAAGAACAUCUUGACGGCAUGUAUGUAGAUGGUAGAUUGGAAUGUAGCUGGUGUUACUUUCUGGUAGAUUGGAAUGUAGCUGCCCCGGCGCACACAUGAACGAUGUUCUUUGUCGUAUGUGAACCAGGGACAAACACAUGGAUGCUCUACUUGAUAUCAAUCAUGAAGUAUUGGCUAAGUUCAUCGUCAUCGGAGGUGCUUAUCGUUUUAUUGUUUAAAAUGUUGUUGUUAGAACUUACUAGCUAGCUCAGGCAUGU